GCCUGCUUGGUGGAAUGGUUAGACACAACGGACUUAAAAUUCGUAAAUUACCGGUUCAAUUCCGGUAGCAGGUA
rnacentral:tRNA from 1 species